UUCUGCAAGGUGCUGCAUGGUUGUCGUCAGCUCGUGCCGUGAGGUGUCGGGUUAAGUCCCAUAACGAGCGCAACCCUUAUCGUUAGUUGCCAUCUGGUAAUGCAGGGGACUCUAGCGAAACUGCCACCGUAAGGUGAGAGGAAGGUGGGGAUGACGUCAAAUCAGCACGGCCCUUAUGUCCAGGGCUACACACGUGUUACAAUGGUCGGUACAGAGGGCAGCUACCUGGUGACAGGAUGCUAAUCUCGAAAACCGGUCUCAGUUCGGAUCGAAGUCUGCAACUCGACUUCGUGAAGCUGGAUUCGCUAGUAAUCGCGCAUCAGCUAUGGCGCGGUGAAUAUGUCCCUGCUCCUU
rnacentral:rRNA from 1 species